GCGGAAGUAGUUCAGUGGUAGAACAUCACCUUGCCAAGGUGGGGGUCGCGGGUUCGAGUCCCGUCUUCCGCUCCA
rnacentral:tRNA from 5 species